ACAAAAGGCACCAGAGUUCUUUUAUUUUUUACUCUCACUUUCAUUAGAGAAAACUUCUGAAAUUCAAGUCUUAAAAACUUCAGAAAAGAACAAAAAAGUAUAUUUCUCAGCUGGCUUCAUUUCUCUGCUCUUUGGUCUUCACUCGUUCUAUUUUUUUUUUUUUUGGAGUUUGGGUCUAUCUCUAUUCCUUCUGUUUUGCUGCUGCUGGAUACUGGCUGAUUAGUAGUUGAUCUACAUAUUUGGUUUUUCUUUGACCUUUAUUUGGUCUUGGAUCUUCUAUUGAUGAUUACUAGGUAUGUGGCUGUACCUUUGUAUUUUUCUGUUAAGAUGUUAAUCAAAGAUCUGAAUUACAUAUUAGCUUGUGAAUCCAUGUUAUUUUAUAAGAGAUUUAUCUAUACUAAUUGGUCCAGCUGUUUGUAUCUACAUUAUCAAGUUAGUAAUUUUGAUUUGAGUUCAUUCAUUACUGUUUCUGUAUUAAGUUCCAAAUUGCAAUAAAUUUGAGUUUUUCAGUCUGUUUCAUAUGACAUCUCUUUCUUACUGUUGAUGGGUAAUCUGGUUCGUAGCCCGACCCUUGGAAACCAUUGGAGUUCAUGAGCCUCUGGAGUCAAUUUGAAGUAUUGUGUGAGUUGGUCAUAAUGUUGUGUUCUGAUUGUGAGCUCAUAAGCUAGCUUAAAGUCAUAACAGUUAAGGGGUUUCUCAAUAUCCUAAAAAUUGGGAUUCUUACUAACUUUGAGAUGAUAGCUAUAGUAAUAUAUGUGUAGUUCAUUUCAAGCUGGAUUGUAUAAAGUUAAUUGUGCUUUUGAUCGUUGAUUUUUCUCAGUUCAAGCUAGAGAGUAGUCAUUCUUUGCAAGCAUGAUUUGUGAUGAUCGAAAUUUUAUUUUUCUUUAUCAUUUAGUUGCAAUCUGUAUUGUCCAUCAUGUGAAUAGUUCAUUUUAAUACCAGAAUGUACUGUUGAUCAAAUAUUGAGGUUUAGAGGUAUAAGUAAUUGUCUCUCACGAUAUAAUUGAAAUAAUGGGCCAUAUGUGACUUUGUAGAAGUUAAAAGGAAUUUUUACAUUCUUUUGCCACAUAGGAAACCUUAUUACCGUUAAUGUUUAAGGUUUGACUUAAUUACACUUAGUAUAUCAAAUUACCAAUUCUAUACCAUAAUUAAUUAUGAGUAUAAUUAAUUGUACAUUUUUACUCCUUAAUUAAAGGAAUCUACACGUUUCUCUCUCCUAACCCAUCAGUCUCACCCACGUUUUACCCUUACCCACGUUCUUUUUACCAUUUUCCAUAUUCUGAAACCAAAUUCUCCUUCUAAAUUCACAGAAAAUUAAAGAAACCCUUCAACAAAGUUGGUUCCCCAUUUUACUCCAGUUAAAGUUCAUCAAUGAAGAACAACUAAGCUCAUCAAAAUUGAAGUCAAAUCUUCAAAAUUCAUACACACAUUUACCUUCAGCUUCAAAUUUUCUCAAUGAAGAAGAACAAACCUUCAAAGAGACAAGAGAGCAGCAAUUCCACCAUUGACAGCCAUUAAAAAACUUUGAAGCUUUGAAUUCAAAUUUGGAUUUUCAAAAAUCAUUAUUUGUUUUGAUUGGGUGUUGUUGUAAAUAAUUGGGAAUAUGUUUUGGAGUUUAUAUCUCAAUUUUGAGGGGUUUUGGUGAUGAUUUAG
rnacentral:lncRNA from 1 species